rnacentral:rRNA from 1 species
AUUGAACGCUGGCGGCAGGCCUAACACAUGCAAGUCGAACGAGUGGCGGACGGGUGAGUAAUGUCUGGGAAACUGCCUGAUGGAGGGGGAUAACUACAGGAAACGGUAGCUAAUACCGCAUACCAUCGGAUGUGCCCAGAUGGGAUUAGCUAGUAGGUGGGGUAAAGGCUCCCCUAGGCGGCGAUCCCUAGCUGGUCUGAGAGGAUGACCAGCCACACUGGAGCUGGGAUGCGGUCCAGACUCCUACGUGAGGCACCGGUGGGGAAUAUUGCACAAGCGGCGCAAGCCUGAUUCAGCCAUUCCGCGUGUAUGUAGAAGGCCUUCGGGUUGUAAAGUACUUUCAGCGUGGAGGCGUUACCCGCAGAAGAAGCACCGGCUAACUCCGUGCCAGCAGCCGCGGUAAUUC